ACUCCUACGGGAGGCAGCAGUGGGGAAUAUUGCACAAUGGGCGAAAGCCUGAUGCAGCAACGCCGCGUGAGGGACGACGGCCUUCGGGUUGUAAACCUCUUUUGGCAGGGAAGAAGCGAAAGUGACGGUACCUGCAGAAAAAGCACCGGCUAACUACGUGCCAGCAGCCGCGGUAAUACGUAGGGUGCAAGCGUUGUCCGGAAUUAUUGGGCGUAAAGAGCUCGUAGGCGGUUUGUCGCGUCUGCUGUGAAAACGCGAGGCUCAACCUCGCGCCUGCAGUGGGUACGGGCAGACUAGAGUGUGGUAGGGGAGAUUGGAAUUCCUGGUGUAGCGGUGGAAUGCGCAGAUAUCAGGAGGAACACCGAUGGCGAAGGCAGAUCUCUGGGCCAUUACUGACGCUGAGGAGCGAAAGCGUGGGGAGCGAACAGGAUUAGAUACCCUGGUAGUCCACGCCGUAAACGUUGGGAACUAGAUGUGGGGUCCAUUCCACGGAUUCCGUGUCGCAGCUAACGCAUUAAGUUCCCCGCCUGGGGAGUACGGCCGCAAGGCUAAAACUCAAAGGAAUUGACGGGGGCCCGCACAAGCGGCGGAGCAUGCGGAUUAAUUCGAUGCAACGCGAAGAACCUUACCAAGGCUUGACAUAUACCUGCAAAGGCUGGAAACAGUCUCCUCGCAAGACAGGUAUACAGGUGGUGCAUGGUUGUCGUCAGCUCGUGUCGUGAGAUGUUGGGUUAAGUCCCGCAACGAGCGCAACCCUCGUUCUAUGUUGCCAGCGCGUCAUGGCGGGAACUCAUAGGAAACUGCCGGGGUCAACUCGGA
rnacentral:rRNA from 1 species